rnacentral:rRNA from 1 species
UACGUAGGGUGCAAGCGUUAAUCGGAAUACUGGGCGUAAAGCGUGCGCAGGCGGCUUUGCAAGACAGAUGUGAAAUCCCCGGGCUUAACCUGGGAACUGCAUUGGUGACUGGCAGGCUUUGAGUGUGGCAGAGGGAGGUAGAAUUCCACGUGUAGCAGUGAAAUGCGUAGAGAUGUGGAGGAAUACGAUGCGAAGGACAGCCUCCUGGGCCA